GACGAACGCUGGCGGCGUGCUUAACACAUGCAAGUCGAGCGGAGCGGCGAACGGGUGAGUAACACGUGAGUAACUGCCCCCCUCUCUGGGAUAACCGUUGGAAAAGGCUGCUAAUACCGGAUUGUGGGGGAUGCCUCGCGUCCUAUCAGCUUGUUGGUGGGGUAGUGGCCGACAAAGGCGACGACGGGUAGCCGGCCUGAAAGGGCGACUGGCCCAAUUGGGCUGGGAUACGGCCCAAACUCCUACGGGAGGCAGGGGUGGGGAAUAUUGCACAAUGGGGGAAAUCCUGAUGCAGGAACGCCGGGUGCGGAAGGACGGCAUUCGGGUUGUAAACCGCGUUCGUCCAUGACGCUGUAGUGGCAGAAGAAGCACCGGCUAACUAGGUGCCAGCAGCCGCGGUAAUC
rnacentral:rRNA from 1 species